rnacentral:rRNA from 1 species
UACGGAGGAUCCAAGCGUUAUUCGGAUUCAUUGGGUUUAAAGGGUGCGUAGGCGGAAUGAUAAGUCAGUGGUGAAAGCCUGUUGCUUAACAACAGAACUGCCAUUGAUACUGUCAAUCUUGAGUAUAUUUGAUGUGGGCGGAAUGUGUCAUGUAGCGGUGAAAUGCUGAGAUAUGACACAGAACGCCGAUUGCGAAGGCAGCUCACAAAACUAUAACUGACGCUGAGGCACGAAAGCGUGGGUAUCAAACAGG